rnacentral:rRNA from 1 species
CGGCAGCUUACCAUGCAAGUCGAGCGGUAACAGGGGGUGCUUGCACCCCGCUGACGAGCGGCGGACGGGUGAGUAAUGCAUAGGAAUCUGCCCAGUAGUGGGGGAUAGCCCGGGGAAACCCGGAUUAAUACCGCAUACGUCCUUCGGGGGAAAGCAGGGGAUCUUCGGACCUUGCGCUAUUGGAUGAGCCUAUGUCGGAUUAGCUAGUUGGUGGGGUAAAGGCCUACCAAGGCGACGAUCCGUAGCUGGUCUGAGAGGAUGAUCAGCCACAUCGGGACUGAGACACGGCCCGAACUCCUACGGGAGGCAGCAGUGGGGAAUAUUGGACAAUGGGGGCAACCCUGAUCCAGCCAUGCCGCGUGUGUGAAGAAGGCUUUCGGGUUGUAAAGCACUUUCAGUGAGGAGGAAAACCUUCUGGUUAAUACCCAUGAGGCUUGACGUUACUCACAGAAGAAGCACCGGCUAACUCCGUGCCAGCAGCCGCGGUAAUACGGAGGGUGCAAGCGUUAAUCGGAAUUACUGGGCGUAAAGCGCGCGUAGGUGGUUUGAUAAGCGAGAUGUGAAAGCCCCGGGCUUAACCUGGGAACGGCAUUUCG